CGAGCAGGUGCGAAAGCAGGUCAUAGUGAUCCGGUGGUUCUGAAUGGAAGGGCCAUCGCUCAACGGAUAAAAGGUACUCCGGGGAUAACAGGCUGAUACCGCCCAAGAGUUCAUAUCGACGGCGGUGUUUGGCACCUCGAUGUCGGCUCAUCACAUCCUGGGGCUGAAGUAGGUCCCAAGGGUAUGGCUGUUCGCCAUUUAAAGUGGUACGCGAGCUGGGUUUAGAACGUCGUGAGACAGUUCGGUCCCUAUCUGCCGUGGGCGCUGGAGAACUGAGGGGGGCUGCUCCUAGUACGAGAGGACCGGAGUGGACGCAUCACUGGUGUUCGGGUUGUCAUGCCAAUGGCACUGCCCGGUAGCUAAAUGCGGAAGAGAUAAGUGCUGAAAGCAUCUAAGCACGAAACUUGCCCCGA
rnacentral:rRNA from 2 species